UACAGAGGGGGCAAGCGUUGUUCGGAAUUACUGGGCGUAAAGGGCGCGUAGGCGGCCUGCUAAGUCGAACGUGAAAUCCCUGGGCUCAACCCAGGAACUGCGUCCGAUACUGGUUGGCUUGAAUCCGGGAGAGGGAUGUGGAAUUCCAGGUGUAGCGGCGAAAUGCGUAGAUAUCUGGAGGAACACCUGCGGCGAAGGCGGGUUGCUGGGCCGACACUGACGCUGAGGCGCGAAGGCUAGGGGAGCGAACGGG
rnacentral:rRNA from 1 species